rnacentral:rRNA from 1 species
GACGAACGCUGGCGGCGUGCUUAACACAUGCAAGUCGAACGAAGUGGCGAACGGGUGAGUAACGCGUAAUCAACCUGCCCUUCAGAGGGGGACAACAGUUGGAAACGACUGCUAAUACCGCAUACUGAUGGAGGGGAUUGCGUCUGAUUAGCUAGUUGGGGGGGUAACGGCCCACCAAGGCGAUGAUCAGUAGCCGGGCUGGGGGGGUGGACGGCCCAAAUGGGACUGGAGAACGGCCCAAGCUCCUUAGGGAGGGAACAGUGGGGGAACUUCCGCAAAGGACGAAAAUCUGGCGGAGCAACGCCCCGUGGGUGAUAACAGCCUUCGGGUUGUAAAGCUCUGUUAAUCGGGACGCGGUACCGGAAUAGAAAGCCACGGCUAACUACGUGCCAGCAGCCGCGGUAAUUC